UGGGGAAUCUUGCGCAAUGCGCGAAAGCGUGACGCAGCAACGCCGCGUGUGGGAAGACGGCCUUCGGGUUGUAAACCACUUUCAGUUGGGACGAAGGGUGAGUCGUUAAUAGCGGUUUCACUUGACGGUACCUUCACAAGAAGCCCCGGCUAACUACGUGCCAGCAGCCGCGGUAAUACGUAGGGGGCAAGCGUUGUCCGGAAUCAUUGGGCGUAAAGCGCGUGUAGGCGGGUCGUUAAGUCUGCUCUGAAAGUCCAAGGCUCAACCUUGGGAUGCGGGUGGAUACUGGCGACCUCGAGUCCGGAAGAGGCGGGUGGAAUUCCUGGUGUAGCGGUGAAAUGCGCAGAUAUCAGGAGGAACACCAAUGGCGAAGGCAGCCCGCUGGGACGUGACUGACGCUGAGACGCGAAAGCGUGGGGAGCAAACA
rnacentral:rRNA from 1 species